GCGAAGGUGGCGRAAUUGGUAGACGCGCUAGCUUCAGGUGUUAGUGUCCUUACGGACGUGGGGGUUCAAGUCCCCCCCCUCGCACCA
rnacentral:tRNA from 1 species